UACAGAGGUCCCGAGCGUUGUUCGGAUUCACUGGGCGUAAAGGGUGCGUAGGUGGUGAGGAAAGUCGGAUGUGAAAUCUCCGGGCUUAACUCGGAACGGUCAGAUGAUACUGCUUUGCUAGAGUGCGGAAGGGGCAAUCGGAAUUCUUGGUGUAGCGGUGAAAUGCGUAGAUAUCAAGAGGAACACCUGAGGUGAAGACGGGUUGCUGGGCCGACACUGACGCUGAGUGCGCGAAAGCCAGGGGAGCAAACGGG
rnacentral:rRNA from 1 species